GUCGAACGCUGGCGGCGUGCCUAAUACAUGCAAGUCGAACGCAGUGGGGACGGGUGAGUAACACGUGGGUAACCUCCCAUCAGAGGGGAUAACACUUGGAAACAGGUGCUAAACCGAUACUGAUGGAUGGACCCGCGGUGCCUUAGCUAGUUGGUGAGGUAACGGCUCACCAAGGCCACGAUGCAUAGCCGAGCUGCGAGGGGGAUCGGCCACACUGGUACUGAGACACGGCCCAGACUCCUACGGUAGGCAGCAGUGGGGAAUUUUCGGCAAUGGACGAAAGUCUGACCGAGCAAUGCCGCGUGAGUGAAGAAGGUUUUCGGAUCGUAAACCUCUGUUGUCAGAGAAGCGGUAUCUAAACAGAAAGCAACGGCUAACUACGUGCCAGCAGCCGCGGUAAUUC
rnacentral:rRNA from 1 species